rnacentral:rRNA from 1 species
UGCCAGCCGCCGCGGUAAUACGGAGGGGGCUAGCGUUGUUCGGAAUCACUGGGCGUAAAGCGCACGUAGGCGGACCAGUCAGUCAGAGGUGAAAUCCCAAGGCUCAACCUUGGAACUGCCUUUGAUACUGCUGGUCUUGAGGUCGAGAGAGGUAAGUGGAAUUCCUAGUGUAGAGGUGAAAUUCGUAGAUAUUAGGAAGAACACCAGUGGCGAAGGCGACUUACUGGCUCGAUUCUGACGCUGAGGUGCGAAAGCGUGGGGAGCAAACAGGAUUAUCUA